CGCACUGUGGUGGAUUCGGCAGCAGGCGCGCAAAUUACCCACUCCCAGCUUGGGGAGGUAGUGACGAAAAAUAACGAGACGAUUCUCGUUUGAGAAACGUUAUCGAAAUGAGUACGCUUUACACACGCUAACGAGUAGCAAUUGGAGGGCAAGUCUGGUGCCAGCAGCCGCGGUAAUUCCAGCUCCAAUAGCGUAUAUUAAAGUUGCUGCGGUUAAAACGCUCGUAGUUGAAUUGUGGUCUUAGACAACAGUCCCCCUACAAAGGUGUGGCACGGUUGCUCGAGAUCUUCAUUCGUGGUUGCUGUUGUUGCUCUUCAUUGAGUGUCAAUGGUGCCUCGAGAUUUUACUUUGAAAAAAUUAGAGUGCUCAAAGCAGGUUGUGAUGCCUGAAUAAUGGUGCAUGGAAUAAUAGAAUACGAUCUCGGUUCUAUUUUGUUGGUUUUCGAACCGGAGAUAAUGAUUGAAAGGAACAGACGGGGGCAUUCGUAUUGCUGCGUUAGAGGUGAAAUUCUUGGAUCGCAGCAAGAUGAACAAUUGCGAAAGCAUUUGCCAAGAAUGUUUUCAUUAAUCAAGAACGAAAGUUAGAGGUUCGAAGGCGAUCAGAUACCGCCCUAGUUCUAACGGUAAACUAUGCCAACCAGCGAUUCGCCGAAGUUCAUUUAAGACUCGGCGAGCAGCUUCCGGGAAACCAAAGUGUUUCGGUUCCGGGGGAAGUAUGGUUGCAAAGCUGAAACUUAAAGGAUUGACGGAAGGGAACACCAGGAGUGAGCCUGCGGCUUAAUUUGACUCAACACGGGAAACUCACCCGGGCCGGA
rnacentral:ncRNA from 1 species